rnacentral:rRNA from 1 species
GAUGAACGCUAGCGGGAGGCCUAACACAUGCAAGCCGAGCGGUAUUUCUUCUUCGGGAGAGAGAGAGCGGCGUACGGGUGCGGAACACGUGUGCAACCUGCCUUUAUCUAGAGGAUAGCCUUUCGAAAGGAGGAUUAAUACUCUAUAAUAUAUUAAUUGGCAUCAAUUGAUAUUGAAAACUCCGGUGGAUAGAGAUGGGCACGCGCAAGAUUAGCUAGUUGGUGAGGUAACGGCUCACCAAGGCAAUGAUCUUUAGGGGGCCUGAGAGGGUGAUCCCCCACACUGGUACUGAGACACGGACCAGACUCCUACGGGAGGCAGCAGUGAGGAAUAUUGGUCAAUGGGUGCAAGCCUGAACCAGCCAUCCCGCGUGAAGGAUUAAGGUCCUAUGGAUUGUAAACUUCUUUUGUAUAGGGAUAAACCUACCCUCGUGAGGGUAGCUGAAGGUACUAUACGAAUAAGCACCGGCUAACUCCGUGCCAGCAGCCGCCGUAACAC